AGCAGUAGCCGCGGUAAUACAGAGGGUGCAAGCGUUAAUCGGAUUUACUGAGCGUAAAGGGCGCGUAGGUGGUUAUGUAAGUGAAAUGUGAAAUCCCCGGGCUCAACCUGGGAACUGCAUCUUAUACUGCGUAGCUGGAGUGCAGUAGAGGGUAGUGGAAUUUCCGGUGUAGCGGUGAAAUGCGUAGAUAUCGGAAGGAACACCAGUGGCGAAGGCGGCUACCUGGACUGACACUGACACUGAGGCGCGAAAGCGUGGGGAGCAAACAGGAUUAGAUACCCCGGUAGUCCCUGUCUCUUAUAC
rnacentral:rRNA from 1 species